rnacentral:rRNA from 1 species
UACGAAGGGGGCUAGCGUUGCUCGGAAUUACUGGGCGUAAAGGGCGCGUAGGCGGAUAUUUAAGUUAGAGGUGAAAGCCCAGGGCUCAACCCUGGAAUAGCCUUUAAUACUGGAUAUCUUGAGUUCGGGAGAGGUGAGUGGAACUGCGAGUGUAGAGGUGAAAUUCGUAGAUAUUCGCAAGAACACCAGUGGCGAAGGCGGCUCACUGGCCCGGUACUGACGCUGAGGUGCGAAAGCGUGGGGAGCAAACAGG